UAAGAUUUAUGGGUAGUUUAAUAUUGUGCAUAUUUUGAAUGAAAAAUAUGCAAGUUGCUUAAGGAAUUUUUAAUUAAGUUGCUACCCAUACAAAUGUGUGAUUAACUAUACUGAGUUUAAAUUGUUGCUAGGAAAGUUUGUCGUGGAGGCGUGUCGAACGAAGUAUGUGACCGACAAAUAGGAAUAAUUAUAUAUGCGUACGAAUCAAUAGUGAAGUAAUAUCCCAUUAUUAUGAGGCUUGUUCGAGACUUGACGGGGUCUUUUUCGGAAGUCUUGGACGCCGGCAGCGAUUGGGGAAAGGUCAUUGCAACCGGGUCGUGACAAUUUGUUAGCACAAACUUUGGCUUGGGAAUUCACACACUCUUAGUGAAGAGAUUUCAGUAAAUCACUAUGUGGAUCACCAUUAGAUGCAAGACAACUGUGCUGUUAUGAUUUGAUAAGUCCUAGUUGGUGUACAAAAGCUAAAAAAGAAAACAAAAAGAGGACUCCACUAAAAAACUAGACUUUCAAGAAAUGUAUAAUUUUGCAUUAUUAUAGAAGUAUAAUGAAGAUUCAUCCUUUCAACCAGAAUUCAAUCCACAUGCUUUGACAAAAGUAAUUGGAAGGAUGGAGACUACAUGCGCUCGCGUGUAUGGGUUUGGUAUUCAGGUGCCUGUUGCAACUCUACUUAGUGGAACACAAAGCAAUGCAGUAAUAUCUGAGUCAAAGUGUGGUCCUAUCAAUUCAAACACUACUAAUUCUAUAAUUGUAUUAGAAGAAAAAGUGAAAAGUCUAUCAACAAACCUGGGUAAGAUACAUGAGGAAAUUAAGGAGAAUAAUGCCAAUUUAAUGACAAACAUGAAGGAAGCAAUGGCAGAAAUUAUGAGUGAAUUUAUGGCACUUAUGGAAGCAAUGAUCGUGAGUAAUGCACUUUUAAAACAAGGAAAUGUGGGUACUUUAACCUCAAAUCUUGGCAAGUAUGAAUGCAACAUUUCAUGAUAUGAUGUCUCUUUUCCAUUGUUGGACUUGGAAUC